GUUCUUCUGGGUAACCAAGAGGAAGUUGGAGGUGCCGACGGGACCUGAAGUGCAGACCCCUAAGGUUUGGUCCUUGUUUUUCAAGGUGGCUGGGAUGAGCGCUUGGGCGCCUCAGGUGCCUGUAUAACCCACUCCUCCCUACCAAAGAGGGCAUCUUCCUACAACCUUCGGAUGCUGACUGGGACGACUUGUGGGACCAGUUUGAUGAGCGGCGGUAUCUGAAUGCCAAAAAGUGGCGCGUUGGUGACGACCCCUAUAAGCUGUAUGCUUUCAACCAGCGGGAGAGUGAGCGGAUCUCCAGCAAUCGGGCCGUCCCGGACACUCGCCAUCUGAGAUGUACGCUGCUGGUGUAUUGCACGGACCUUCCACCCACUAGCAUCAUCAUCACCUUCCACAACGAGGCCCGCUCCACGCUGCUCAGGACCAUCCGCAGCGUAUUAAACCGCACCCCUACUCAUCUGAUCCGGGAAAUCAUAUUAGUGGAUGACUUCAGCAAUGACCCUGAUGACUGUAAACAGCUCAUCAAGUUGCCCAAGGUGAAAUGCUUGCG
rnacentral:sRNA from 1 species